rnacentral:rRNA from 1 species
CAACGACUGCUAAUACCGCAUAAGCCCACGGUGCCGCAUGGCACAGAGGGAAAAGGAGCAAUCCGCUUUGAGAUGGCCUCGCGUCCGAUUAGCUAGUUGGUGAGGUAACGGCCCACCAAGGCGACGAUCGGUAGCCGGACUGAGAGGUUGAACGGCCACAUUGGGACUGAGACACGGCCCAGACUCCUACGGGAGGCAGCAGUGGGGAAUAUUGCACAAUGGGGGAAACCCUGAUGCAGCGACGCCGCGUGGAGGAAGAAGGUCUUCGGAUUGUAAACUCCUGUUGUUGAGGAAGAUAAUGACGGUACUCAACAAGGAAGUGACGGCUAACUACGUGCCAGCAGCCGCGGUAAAACGUAGGUCACAAGCGUUGUCCGGAAUUACUGGGUGUAAAGGGAGCGCAGGCGGGAAGACAAGUUGGAAGUGAAAUCCAUGGGCUCAACCCAUGAACUGCUUUCAAAACUGUUUUUCUUGAGUAGUGCAGAGGUAGGCGGAAUUCCCGGUGUAGCGGUGGAAUGCGUAGAUAUCGGGAGGAACACCAGUGGCGAAGGCGGCCUACUGGGCACCAACUGACGCUGAGGCUCGAAAGUGUGGGUAGCAAACAGGAUUAGAUACCCUGGUAGUCCACACUGUAAACGAUGAUUACUAGGUGUUGGAGGAUUGACCCCUUCAGUGCCGCAGUUAACACAAUAAGUAAUCCACCUGGGGAGUACGACCGCAAGGUUGAAACUCAAAGGAAUUGACGGGGGCCCGCACAAGCAGUGGAGUAUGUGGUUUAAUUCGACGCAACGCGAAGAACCUUACCAAGUCUUGACAUCCUGCGACGCACAUAGAAAUAUGUGUUUCCUUCGGGACGCAGAGACAGGUGGUGCAUGGUUGUCGUCAGCUCGUGUCGUGAGAUGUUGGGUUAAGUCCCGCAACGAGCGCAACCCUUAUGGUCAGUUACUACGCAAGAGGACUCUGGCCAGACUGCCGUUGACAAAACGGAGGAAGGUGGGGAUGACGUCAAAUCAUCAUGCCCUUUAUGACUUGGGCUACACACGUACUACAAUGGCGUUAAACAAAGAGAAGCAAGACCGCGAGGUGGAGCAAAACUCAGAAACAACGUCCCAGUUCGGACUGCAGGCUGCAACUCGCCUGCACGAAGUCGGAAUUGCUAGUAAUCGCAGAUCAGCAUGCUGCGGUGAAUACGUUCCCGGGCCUUGUACACACCGCCCGUCACACCAUGAGAGCCGGGGGGACCCGAAGUCGGUAGUCUAACCGCAAGGAGGACGCCGCCGAAGGUAAAACUGGUGAUUGGGGUGAAGUCGAAACAAGGUA